rnacentral:rRNA from 1 species
GGAUUAGAUACCCUGGUAGUCCACGCCGUAAACGAUGUCUACUAGCCGUUGGGGAACUUGAUUCUUUAGUGGCGCAGCUAACGCACUAAGUAGACCGCCUGGGGAGUACGGCCGCAAGGUUAAAACUCAAAUGAAUUGACGGGGGCCCGCACAAGCGGUGGAGCAUGUGGUUUAAUUCGAUGCAACGCGAAGAACCUUACCUGGUCUUGACAUCUAGCGAACUUGGAAGAGAUUCCUUGGUGCCUUCGGGAGCGCUAUGACAGGUGCUGCAUGGCUGUCGUCAGCUCGUGCUG